rnacentral:rRNA from 1 species
AGUGCUUGCACUUUGGCAGACUGAGCGGCGGACGGGUGAGUAACGCGUGGGUGACCUGCCCCAUACCGGGGGAUAACAGCUGGAAACGGCUGGUAAUACCGCAUAAGCGCACAAUGUUGCAUGACAUGGUGUGAAAAACUCCGGUGGUAUAAGAUGGACCCGCGUCUGAUUAGCUAGUUGGUGAGGUAACGGCCCACCAAGGCGACGAUCAGUAGCCGGACUGAGAGGUUGACCGGCCACAUUGGGACUGAGAUACGGCCCAGACUCC